GUGCCUAACACAUGCAAGUCGAACGAGAAAGUGGAGCAAUCCAUGAGUACAGUGGCGUACGGGUGAGUAACACGUGACUAACCUACCCUCGAGUGGGGAAUAACUUCGGGAAACCGAGGCUAAUACCGCAUAACAUCUACGGAUCAAAUGCGCAAGCAGCUUGAGGAGGGGGUCGCGGCUGAUUAGCUAGUUGGCGGGGUAACGGCCCACCAAGGCAAUGAUCAGUAGCCGGCCUGAGAGGGCGCACGGCCACACUGGAACUGAAACACGGUCCAG
rnacentral:rRNA from 1 species